UCAAGAACAGCAAUAAUUUAUUUAAAAGCUCAGACAUCUAUUACUACACAUUAUAUUUAGUUUAAUGUGUAGUACAGACAGACAGACAGACAGACAGACAGACAGAUAGAUAGAUAGAUAGAUAUUACUGUAAAUCUUAAGCUAUAAUAUCUGACAAAGCCCACUUUUAACAGGACAUUAAUAGCUUUUGUGACAAGAUGAGGUGUUUCCUUUGUGCAUAAACAAAAUACAGAGGCAACAAUUAUACAGUAAUCUCUCUAUAUGUCUUUAGGUAUCACAUCACCAUUGCUUUGUCUGUCAAGGGCUGUUCGUUCGAGUGUUACAAAGACACGGUGGAGCCCAAGUGCUGUCCAGGUCACUGGGGCAAUGACUGCAUUGAGUGUCCAGGAUCAGCAGCGACUCCCUGCAGCAAUAAUGGAGUCUGCUCUGAUGGUAUAGCAGGCAAUGGGACUAGCACAUGUGCAGUAAGAUAAUUUACUUCUUUUCUUCUGUCUGAAUCAAACACUAUUAUUGAGCAUCUGAUGUGACUUUUUGGACAUUUUUUUUUUGUGUAUGAUGGCUCUGGAAAAGGUGAGUUUGUGAACACUCUUUUACUCUUUUCUGAGCAGCUUGAAUGCACCCAUUGCUUUGAUUACAGUUUGCCAUCUUCACAAUCCUGCUGUUUUCCCCAGUUUGUUGAAGGGUAGGGUUGCAGUGUAAAAGAUGUGUGCAGACCAGACUCCUGCCAUAAAUAUGCCACCUGUGCCACAGUGGAACCGGGAACAGUCGAGUAGGUGACAAAUUCUCAAUUGUUUGGAUGUUUCAUUGUUACAUUCACAGAAAACAGCAGUUGUUUCUUGCAAAAUAAGGUGGAUACAUUCAAACAAAUACUAAGCAUGCUUUUGCUCCAGGUGAAAACCCUGCUGGCUAACGAGAUGAGAGCUCACUUGUAAGCUAACUUGCUAAGCUGCACAUGGUUGCAGGAGAGGUGAACUCUGAGUCGCUGAAGAAGGGAAUCCUCUACUACACUCUGACCGGCCUGGCUGUUGAAACAUUGACAGAUGGAGGUGAUUGAAUGCAGGUUGUGUGUGUGUGUGUGUGUAUUCCCCAGAUGUUUUCAAGGAUGUGCAAAUGCAGGAUACAAGAGCAGAAUCAUCACAUACUGUUUCACUCUUUUCUGCUCAGAUCAGAUUAUGUUUCAUUGUGUUUGUUAAGAUGACAGGGAAUACAUGAACUUUUCUGAAAUCUGUAAACUUCUAUUUUCAAGGCAGACCAGAUAAAAAUCCAUCUUCAAUGCAGUCGUAAGUAAGGAACUCUUGUGGAGACGGAUAUCUUUGCCUCAAAUUGAAUCAUCCAUUUGGUUGGAACUGCUUCCAUCAGCUUAUCAACCAAAUGGAUGAUUCCAAAAACAACAUUAAGUAAGUGUAGAUAAGCGAGAAAGAGGUUCGUGAAGAUAAAAGAUUUGUGUUACAUAAACAUCAUACACUUACUUAAUGUUGUUUUUGAUUGUUAUGAGGAUCAAUAAUGUCUUUGUAUCUUAUUUUUCUUACAGCAAAACCUGUUUAAACCUUUUUAGCAUAUUCUCUCAGGGAAUUGAAAAUUCUCUGCUUGAGGUUGAGUUUUAAACUCUAUUAAUCCCUAAAUGAAUAUACUUUAAGACACUUGACCUGUGCUAGAUAUUACCUUUUUUUGUUAUAAGCCAAAUAUUUGCUACGUUGUAAAAAAAAAUAUAUAAUAAUAAUAAUUCAUAAAAAUAGGUAAUGAUGUAUUGUAUUAAUAUGAAGGAAUUCAAAUUUUUAGCUGUAUUUAGAAUUUUUCACAUUGUUACAUUAUUUAAAUUUGUUUUUAAGGUUUAACUAAUUUAUAAUUAUUUAAUUGGCCAUUUUUUUCUGACCAUAUAAAACUUAUCCCAGUUCAUCCUUUUUGUUUAAAAUACUUAGAGGAGGUACAGUGCAAAAAUAACAACUGUUCGGUUUUUAAAAAUUAUU
rnacentral:lncRNA from 1 species